AUACAUAGGGGGCGAGCGUUAUCCGGAUUUAUUGGGCGUAAAGGGUGCGUAGGCGGUCAAUUAAGUCUAAGGUUAAAGUGCAGGGCUCAACCCUGUGAUGCCUUAGAAACUGGUUUACUUGAGUUUGGUAGAGGUAAGUGGAACUCCAUGUGUAGCGGUAAAAUGCGUAAAUAUAUGGAAGAACACCAGUGGCGAAGGCGGCUUACUGGGCCAAAACUGACGCUGAGGCACGAAAGCGUGGGGAGCAAACAGGAUUAGAUACCCUGGUAGUCCACGCUGUAAACGAUGAAUACUAAGUGUUGGAAAAAUCCAGUGCUGAAGUUAACGCAUUAAGUAUUCCGCCUGGGUAGUACGGACGCAAGGAUGAAACUGAAAGGAAUUGACGGGG
rnacentral:rRNA from 1 species